rnacentral:rRNA from 1 species
GAUGAACGCUGGCGGCGUGCCUAAUACAUGCAAGUCGAGCGAACGGACGAGAAGCUUGCUUCUCUGAUGUUAGCGGCGGACGGGUGAGUAACACGUGGAUAACCUACCUAUAAGACUGGGAUAACUUCGGGAAACCGGAGCUAAUACCGGAUAAUAUUUUGAACCGCAUGGUUCAAAAGUAAAAGACGGUCUUGCUGUCACUUAUAGAUGGAUCCGCGCUGCAUUAGCUAGUUGGUAAGGUAACGGCUUACCAAGGCAACGAUGCAUAGCCGACCUGAGAGGGUGAUCGGCCACACUGGAACUGAGACACGGUCCAGACUCCUACGGGAGGCAGCAGUAGGGAAUCUUCCGCAAUGGGCGAAAGCCUGACGGAGCAACGCCGCGUGAGUGAUGAAGGUCUUCGGAUCGUAAAACUCUGUUAUUAGGGAAGAACAUAUGUGUAAGUAACUGUGCACAUAUUGACGGUACCUAAUCAGAAAGCCACGGCUAACUACGUG